rnacentral:rRNA from 1 species
CAAGUCGAGCGGCAGCGACAACAUUGAACCUUCGGGGGAUUUGUUGGGCGGCGAGCGGCGGACGGGUGAGUAAUGCCUGGGAAAUUGCCCUGAUGUGGGGGAUAACCAUUGGAAACGAUGGCUAAUACCGCAUGAUAGCUUCGGCUCAAAGAGGGGGACCUUCGGGCCUCUCGCGUCAGGAUAUGCCCAGGUGGGAUUAGCUAGUUGGUGAGGUAAGGGCUCACCAAGGCGACGAUCCCUAGCUGGUCUGAGAGGAUGAUCAGCCACACUGGAACUGAGACACGGUCCAGACUCCUACGGGAGGCAGCAGUGGGGAAUAUUGCACAAUGGGCGCAAGCCUGAUGCAGCCAUGCCGCGUGUAUGAAGAAGGCCUUCGGGUUGUAAAGUACUUUCAGCAGUGAGGAAGGAGGUAUCGUUAAUAGCGGUAUCCUUUGACGUUAGCUGCAGAAGAAGCACCGGCUAACUCCGUGCCAGC